UAAGACAGAGGAUGCAAGCGUUAUCCGGAAUGAUUGGGCGUAAAGCGUCUGUAGGUGGUUUAUUAAGUCUACUGUUAAAGAUCAGGGCUUAACCCUGAGCAGGCAAUAGAAACUAAUAAGCUAGAGUACGGUAGGGGCAGAGGGAAUUCCCGGUGUAGCGGUGAAAUGCGUAGAGAUCGGGAAGAACACCAACGGCGAAAGCACUCUGCUGGGCCGAAACUGACACUGAGAGACGAAAGCUAGGGGAGCAAAUGGGAUUAGAUACCCCAGUAGUCCUAGCCGUAAACGAUGGAUACUAAGUGCUGUGCGAUUCAAAACGUCCAGUACUGUAGCUAACGCGUGAAGUAUCCCGCCUGGGGAGUAUGCUCGCAAGAGUG
rnacentral:rRNA from 1 species